GAUACUCUUUUAACCACAAAACAAAGUGGAAGAAGCAGAAUCACAAACGUAAAUUCACAUAAUCACAUAGUCAUCUUCUUCUUCCUCUUUACAUCUCCAUCACCAGAUUUUUGUUCGAAGGUGUUAAGUUAAAUGGACUCAGCAUCACGUGAGAUUUGGAUAAGAAGUUAAUCCCAUGUCAUUUUCUCUGUUUUUCUUCUUCGUUAAUAAGUUUCUCGGUGACGAAGAUGAGCUCGUGUUCGGCGUUGUGAGAUCUUGAGGUUUUGGGACACAAGAUCUGAAGAAAAAACAAUCUGGAUUCACUAAAAGAGUUCAUCACAUCUCUUUCCAAUAUAAGAUGGGGGUAGAUCCUCGAUGGAGGUGGAGAGAGAGAUGCACGAGAGAAAUCUGAAGGGAAAAAGGGAGAGAUGACGGUGGAACUUCAUCAAUGGGGAGAGAUUAAACAAAAAUCUCAGCAAACUGGUGGCGCGUGGAAAAGGGAGCAGUGGAUCUGGGGAGAGAAGAAAGUAAUUUGAUUUUCAAUUUUUGUUUUGUAAAUUAAAUAAUUAACUUGUAAUUUAUAUUUUAUUUA